AGAACAAUAAACCCACAGCUCUGUCUGUUCACUGCUUGACCCUCAACACGGAGCUUUGUCUCGCUCUUGGGAGGAUUUACUGUAUGCUGUUCCAGUUUGACUGCUAGGAGUGUAAACCUAUUCGUAUGUUUUUUCCUAUUCGGCUGUUUACAGCAUUCGUAUGGUUUCCUGUUCGGCGGAUUGGUGUUCUGCAGUAGCUGUGCCUGUGUCUCUG